CUGCUACCUUUUAGUGUUGCCACAACACAUACAACGUGUGUUGGCUUCACAAGGAAUCAGAGGCCCUACUUACAAAUUCAUCCAUGGAAACACCAAAGAAAUGCUCAGGAUGAGAACCGAAUCCAUGAGCAGACCCAUGGAUUUAUCCCAUCAAAUACUUGCUAGACUCCAGCCUCAUCUCUCAUCUCUCCUCUCUCCUCUCUCCUCUCUCCUCUCUCUCUUUCUGAAUAUAUAUAUUUUUUUACUUCUAUGAUAUAAAAUCUUUGAUCUACCAAAAUCUGUUAGGUUUUAGACCAUAGUUCUUAAGAUCAAAGUGAAGAGCUUGGCGAGAGCAAUGUUUUGAUCGGUGGAGAUCAAAAUUCGGCAAAGUUGAAAAUUUGGGGUUUUUGCUUGUUUCCUCUUGUAGCUUGAGGGUCAAGUGCAAGGACAAAUCCAUCGGCAGAACACUGUGAGCAAAGAGAUGUCCGAACCCAGCCUCAAUGAAGAAAGUGAGAGGAAGUCAUGUUUUGUGGAGUCAACCCGAAUGUCUCACGCACGAGACUUUGUUUUUGUUCUUUUGCUUACCUUUUUUGCUAUCUUGGUAAAUAUGAUGGAUUACCCAUGUAUGUAAGCUUUUUGUUUGGCUGAUUGCAUGUCUGAAAGUUCUUAGAUGUAUAAGAUAUUACCUCUGAUUAUAUAUGUGAGUUAUUAUGGACUACUUACGAAAUGUUUUGCUUUAUCAUGUAAGCACAGCUCAUUGGACAAAAAUUUCAAGUCUGCUUCCGUUUUGACCCCUUAUUUCUAUUUUUGUAUGCUUGAUCAGGUUUGAGGCCGUAAGUAAUCUCCUGAUUACUAGUUGGUUAUGACUUUAAUCCAUAGGGGCGGGUUCGGGUCAUGACAGUACUAAG